rnacentral:rRNA from 1 species
UACGUAGGGUGCGAGCGUUGUCCGGAAUUAUUGGGCGUAAAGAGCUUGUAGGCGGUUUGUCGCGUCUGCUGUGAAAAUCCGAGGCUCAACCUCGGACUUGCAGUGGGUACGGGCAGACUAGAGUGUGGUAGGGGAGACUGGAAUUCCUGGUGUAGCGGUGGAAUGCGCAGAUAUCAGGAGGAACACCGAUGGCGAAGGCAGGUCUCUGGGCCAUUACUGACACUGAGAAGCGAAAGCAUGGGGAGCAAACAGG